rnacentral:rRNA from 1 species
GCACAAGCAGUGGAGUAUGUGGUUUAAUUCGAAGCAACGCGAAAAACCUUACCAGGUCUUGACAUCUAUCGCUAUCUCAAGAGAUUGAGAGUUCCCUUCGGGGACGGUAAGACAGGUGGUGCAUGGUUGUCGUCAGCUCGUGUCGUGAGAUGUUGGGUUAAGUCCCGCAACGAGCGCAACCCUUACUGUUAGUUGCUACGCAAGAGCACUCUAACGGGACUGCCGUUGACAAAACGGAGAAG